rnacentral:rRNA from 1 species
GAUGAACGCUGGCGGCGUGCCUAAUACAUGCAAGUCGAGCGAACAGACGAGGAUCUUGCUCCUCUGACGUUAGCGGCGGACGGGUGAGUAACACGUGGAUAACCUACCUAUAAGACUGGGAUAACGUCGGGAAACCGGAGCUAAUACCGGAUAAUAUAUUGAACCGCAUGGUUCAAUAGUGAAAGACGGUUUUGCUGUCACUUAUAGAUGGAUCCGCGCCGCAUUAGCUAGUUGGUAAGGUAACGGCUUACCAAGGCAACGAUGCGUAGCCGACCUGAGAGGGUGAUCGGCCACACUGGAACUGAGACACGGUCCAGACUCCUACGGGAGGCAGCAGUAGGGAAUCUUCCGCAAUGGGCGAAAGCCUGACGGAGCAACGCCGCGUGAGUGAUGAAGGUCUUCGGAUCGUAAAACUCUGUUAUUAGGGAAGAACAAAUGUGUAAGUAACUAUGCACGUCUUGACGGUACCUAAUCAGAAAGCCACGGCUAACUACGUG